AACUGUGGGCGGAGUAUUUUAUCGUUGAUGGUUGCGAAAAUUAAAAAAAUAUUUGGGCAUGCAUAUACAGGUACUGGAUAUUGGGUACUGGCUGUGCAUUGGACUGCAAGUGUUCGUCUUCUGUUUGUUUGUAUAUUUAUGCAUCUCUGCGGGAACUAUCAUCACCUUUAUUUGAAUUAUCUAGGAUAAAUUCAAAGACAACUUCCACCGGAGAUCAACGAGAGAUAUACACGUGACGCGUUUUGACAUAUUUGAUAUGAUUUUCUUGAUCGGAAUGUGUUGUUUUAGGACUCACAACUAUCGCCGUUU